GUCAGGAUGGCCGAGCGGGUCUUCUCACAAUUUCAGAGCUUCUUAAAAUUACUUUUCAUUUAAUUUAAUAUAAGAAUCUUUUCUUUUUUACUGGAUAAACUAAGGCGCCAGACUAAGGUUCUGGUCCACUGAUGUGGGCGUGGGUUCGAAUCCCACUCCUGACA